CAAGGUUUAUUCUUUGAUCUCCAAAGGUUUGCUUCAUUGAGUCUGAUAAUGGUGCAUGACGUGAAGAAUGUGAGCUAUACUCUAGUCUCACAUUACCUGGGUUUUACUUAGUCAUCAGUGUAAUUUAUCUAAGGGCAGCCUGCUGCUAAAAAAAGAGCUCAGCUUGAAGCCUUCUAGCUUACACAGCAGGAGUCUUCUAGAAAUUUUGCCACUGGAUCGAAGUCUAAGACUAGAAGUAAAGAGGAAAUUCCUUUCACUUUAGUUUGAAGAAACAGAUGAGACUCUGGACAAAGACUGCAAGCAAAGGAAGAACCAGUCACUUCACACAGAGCAUGGGAGUUUUGGCAUCACCAGUUAUCCUUUAGGCAUGGAAGAGCUUUCCAUCAUUACUCCAAUGUCUAACUACCACUGUCGCUUCAAAAAAGCCUCUCAAGUUCCAGUGAAGAAGCAAGUAACAGCAUGGG
rnacentral:lncRNA from 1 species